rnacentral:rRNA from 1 species
GACGAACGCUGGCGGCGUGCUUAACACAUGCAAGUCGUACGGUAAGGCCCUUUCGGGGGUACACGAGUGGCGAACGGGUGAGUAACACGUGAGUAACCUGCCCACAACUUUGGGAUAACGCUAGGAAACUGGUGCUAAUACUGGAUAUGUGCUCCUGCUGCAUGGUGGGGGUUGGAAAGCUCCGGCGGUUGUGGAUGGACUCGCGGCCUAUCAGCUUGUUGGUGGGGUAGUGGCCUACCAAGGCGGCGACGGGUAGCCGGCCUGAGAGGGUGACCGGCCACAUUGGGACUGAGAUACGGCCCAGACUCCUACGGGAGGCAGCAGUGGGGAAUAUUGCACAAUGGGCGCAAGCCUGAUGCAGCAACGCCGCGUGCGGGAUGACGGCCUUCGGGUUGUAAACCGCUUUCAGCAGGGACGAAGCUUUUUGGGACGGUACCUGCAGAAGAAGCACCGGCUAACUACGU